rnacentral:misc_RNA from 1 species
GAUGAAGAACGCAGCGAAAUGCGAUAAGUAAUGUGAAUUGCAGAAUUCAGUGAAUCAUCGAAUCUUUGAACGCACCUUGCACCCUUUGGCAUUCCGAAGGGUAUGCUCGUUUGAGUGUCAUUGUACUCUCACUCUCCCGAUGCUUUUGGAUCGGGAGUGGUAGACUUGGGUGUUGCUGCUUUGCUGUGGCUCGCCUCAAAUGGAGUAGUGCAACUCUUGGUUGGACAUAGUACGGCGUGAUAAGUGUCUUCGCCGGCGCCUCAUUAUAGAGGGUGGCCGAUCGGGAGCUCUGUGCUUCAAACCGUCUUCGGACAACAUCUGACAACUUGACCUCAAAUCGAGUAGGACUACCCGCUGAACUUCAGCAUAUCAAUAAGCGGAGGA